GUGUUGGGAGACUUGCGACUGGUGAAUUUCAUGGAUGAAUAUUUUUGGGUUGAAUUUAUAGCAUUAAAAAUUCUUCUUCUUUUCUUCAUGUUUUUGUUGUUUUGUUUGGGUUGCCAGCUAUCAAGGCAGAAGUGGAUUGUGAUUGAAGAAUAUAGAUAUGUGAAGAUUAGUGUCUAUUUCUGCAGUUACAGACUUUUAUUUUUGUUUUGCUGAUUAUAUUUUGUAGUCAAUUUAAGUGGAUGAAAGAUUCUUAAUUU
rnacentral:misc_RNA from 1 species